rnacentral:rRNA from 1 species
UUUAAACGGUAGGGUAUUGGCCUACCGUGGCAAUGACGGGUAACGGGGAAUUAGGGUUCGAUUCCGGAGAGGGAGCCUGAGAAACGGCUACCACAUCUAAGGAAGGCAGCAGGCGCGCAAAUUACCCAAUCCUAAUACAGGGAGGUAGUGACAAGAAAUAACAAUACAGGACUUGUUGGUUUUGUAAUUGGAAUGAGUUAAGU